rfam:Hordeum vulgare subsp. vulgare, WGS project CAJW01000000 data, contig: morex_contig_1614197
UUCAUACUCCCUCCGUCCGGAAAUACUUGUCAUAGAAAUGGAUGUAUCUAGAUGUAUUUUCAUUCUACAUAUAUUCAUUUUUAUCCAUUUAUGUGACAAGUAAUUCCGAACAGAGGGGGUAUCUA